GGGGGGAGGCCGGAUCCUGGGCUGUGUCCCGGCGCCCCGUGCUCCGGAGCCUGCGCUGGUGGAUUCGCGCUCCCAGCCGCACAACCCCCU
rnacentral:pre_miRNA from 1 species